CUUACCUGCAAGUCGAACGGCAGCACGGGUGCUUGCACCUGGUGGCGAGUGGCGAACGGGUGAGUAAUACAUCGGAACAUGUCCUGUAGUGGGGGAUAGCCCGGCGAAAGCCGGAUUAAUACCGCAUACGAUCCACGGAUGAAAGCGGGGGACCUUCGGGCCUCGCGCUAUAGGGUUGGCCGAUGGCUGAUUAGCUAGUUGGUGGGGUAAAGGCCUACCAAGGCGACGAUCAGUAGCUGGUCUGAGAGGACGACCAGCCACACUGGGACUGAGACACGGCCCAGACUCCUACGGGAGGCAGCAGUGGGGAAUUUUGGACAAUGGGCGAAAGCCUGAUCCAGCAAUGCCGCGUGUGUGAAGAAGGCCUUCGGGUUGUAAAGCACUUUUGUCCGGAAAGAAAUCCUUGGCUCUAAUACAGUCGGGGGAUGACGGUACCGGAAGAAUAAGCACCGGCUAACUACGUGCCAGCAGCCGCGGUAAUACGUAGGGUGCAAGCGUUAAUCGGAAUUACUGGGCGUAAAGCGUGCGCAGGCGGUUUGCUAAGACCGAUGUGAAAUCCCCGGGCUCAACCUGGGAACUGCAUUGGUGACUGGCAGGCUAGAGUAUGGCAGAGGGGGGUAGAAUUCCACGUGUAGCAGUGAAAUGCGUAGAGAUGUGGAGGAAUACCGAUGGCGAA
rnacentral:rRNA from 1 species